CGGGAGGGCGCUUACAACUUUGUGAUUCAUGACUGGGGUGAAGUCGUAACAAGGUAACCGUAGGGGAACCUGCGGUUGGAUCACCUCCUUACCUUAAAGAA
rnacentral:rRNA from 1 species